rnacentral:rRNA from 1 species
ACGCUAGCUACAGGCUUAACACAUGCAAGUCGAGGGGAAACGACAUCGAAAGCUUGCUUUUGAUGGGCGUCGACCGGCGCACGGGUGAGUAACGCGUAUCCAACCUGCCCACCACUUGGGGAUAACCUUGCGAAAGUAAGACUAAUACCCAAUGACGUCUCUAGAAGACAUCUGAAAGAGAUUAAAGAUUUAUCGGUGAUGGAUGGGGAUGCGUCUGAUUAGCUUGUUGGCGGGGUAACGGCCCACCAAGGCGACGAUCAGUAGGGGUUCUGAGAGGAAGGUCCCCCACAUUGGAACUGAGACACGGUCCAAACUCCUACGGGAGGCAGCAGUGAGGAAUAUUGGUCAAUGGACGAGAGUCUGAACCAGCCAAGUAGCGUGCAGGAUGACGGCCCUAUGGGUUGUAAACUGCUUUUAUAAGGGAAUAAAGUGAGUCUCGUGAGACUUUUUGCAUGUACCUUAUGAAUAAGGACCGGCUAAUUCCGUGCCAGCAGCCGCGGUAAUACGGAAGGUCCGGGCGUUAUCCGGAUUUAUUGGGUUUAAAGGGAGCGUAGGCCGGAGAUUAAGCGUGUUGUGAAAUGUAGACGCUCAACGUCUGCACUGCAGCGCGAACUGGUUUCCUUGAGUACGCACAAAGUGGGCGGAAUUCGUGGUGUAGCGGUGAAAUGCUUAGAUAUCACGAAGAACUCCGAUUGCGAAGGCAGCUCACUGGAGCGCAACUGACGCUGAAGCUCGAAAGUGCGGGUAUCGAACAGGAUUAGAUACCCUGGUAGUCCGCACGGUAAACGAUGGAUGCCCGCUGUUGGUCUGAAUAGGUCAGCGGCCAAGCGAAAGCAUUAAGCAUCCCACCUGGGGAGUACGCCGGCAACGGUGAAACUCAAAGGAAUUGACGGAAGGGCG